CCACGGGAGGCUGCAGUGGGGAAUUUUGCGCAAUGGGGGAAACCCUGACGCCGCAACGCCGCGUGAGUGAUGAAGGCCUUCGGGUCGUAAAGCUCUGUCAGAGGGAAAGAAGUGUAAGGCGGUUAAUACCCGUUUUACUUGACGGUACCCUCAAAGGAAGCACCGGCUAACUCCGUGCCAGCAGCCGCGGUAAUACGGAGGGUGCGAGCGUUGUUCGGAUUUAUUGGGCGUAAAGCGCGUGUAGGCGGUCUUUUAAGUCUGAUGUGAAAGCCCCGGGCUCAACCUGGGAAGUGCAUUGGAAACUGGGAGACUUGAAUACGGGAGAGGGUAGUGGAAUUCCUGGUGUAGGAGUGAAAUCCGUAGAUAUCAGGAGGAACACCGGUGGCGAAGGCGGCUGCCUGGACCGAUAUUGACGCUGAGACGCGAAAGCGUGGGGAGCAAACA
rnacentral:rRNA from 1 species